AGGACGAACGCUGGCGGCGUGCUUAACACAUGCAAGUGGAGCGACGAACCGGACUUCGGUCCGGGGCGAAAGCCGCGAACGGGUGAGUAACACGUGGGUAACCUGCCCGAUGAUCGGGACAACCCGAGGAAACUCGGGCUAAUACCGAAUGUGCCCUACGGUCGCAAGACCGAUGGGGAAAGGAAGCUUCGGCCUCCGCAUUGGGAUGGGCCCGCGGCCCAUUAGCUUGUUGGUGAGGUAACGGCUUACCAAGGCCACGAUGGGUAGCUGGUCUGAGAGGACGAUCAGCCACACUGGGACUGAGACACGGCCCAGACUCCUACGGGAGGCAGCAGUGGGGAAUCUUGCGCAAUGCGCGAAAGCGUGACGCAGCAACGCCGCGUGGGGGGAAGACGGCCUUCGGGUUGGUAAACCCCUUUCAGUUGGGACGAAGCUUCGUCGGUGAACAGCCGGCUGGAGUGACGGUACCUUCAGAAGAGCCCCGGCUAACUACGCGCCAGCAGCCGCGGU
rnacentral:rRNA from 1 species